AAUGAAGAGAAACAACAACAGCAAUAGCUAAUUACAGCAACAACUCAAGCAGCAGCAACAGCAGAGCCACAUGCAGGGCAAUUGCAAUUACAGUUAGAAAUCGGCCAAAGAGGACAAACAGCAGCAAAGACAACAGCGAUUUGACAACAGUGAAACGUCGCUAAAUAGUGCAAGUGCAUGCGUGCAUAUGUUCAAGUAAAUAUAAAUGAAUAAAGAGAUCAACAAUUGAUUGAAAAGGAGUUGAAGUAAUCACAAACAGCUGCAGAAAUUAAAUAAAAUGCAAAUAUAAUA